UCAGAAUAUGUCUUCUGUGUCAUGGU
rnacentral:piRNA from 1 species